AACAAGCCGUUAAAAAAGAAGAGUAGGUAUAAAUAGAAUUUUGUAGAGAGUGAUUGUUUGGUGAAAGAUCAUAAAUUCGUUUAUAGUGAAUGGACUUUUGAGGGUGGGAGGAAAUGCGUAGCAGAGUAUUGCCCAACGGAACCCUACCGUUAUCUUGGGACCAAUAUGAUAGUAUUGGAUGAGUGUGCGCAAGCAAAUUUGGGUGGUACCGCAGAAGUUACAGACUUUUGUCCCAGUU
rnacentral:ncRNA from 1 species